CCUACGGGAGGCAGCAGUGAGGAAUAUUGGUCAAUGGACGAGAGUCUGAACCAGCCAAGCAGCGUGAAGGAUGAAUGCCCUAUGGGUUGUAAACUUCUUUUAUAUGGGAAUAAAAGGUUCCACGUGUGGGAUUUUGUAUGUACCUUAUGAAUAAGGAUCGGCUAACUCCGUGCCAGCAGCCGCGGUAAUACGGAGGAUUCGAGCGUUAUCCGGAUUGAUUGGGUUUAAAGGGAGCGUAGGUGGUUUGUUAAGUUAGUUGUGAAAGUUUGGGGCUCAACCGUAAAAUUGCAGUUGAAACUGGCAGUCUUGAGUACAGUAGAGGUGGGCGGAAUUCGUGGUGUAGCGGUGAAAUGCUUAGAUAUGACGAAGAACUCCGAUUGCGAAGGCAGUUCACUGGACUGCAACUGACACUGAGGCUCGAAAGUGUGGGUAUCAAACAGGAUUAGAUACCCCGGUAGUC
rnacentral:rRNA from 1 species